GUACACUCCUGCGGGAGGCAGCAGUGGGGAAUUUUGGACAAUGGGCGAAAGCCUGAUCCAGCCAUGCCGCGUGCAGGAUGAAGGCCUUCGGGUUGUAAACUGCUUUUGUACGGAACGAAACGGCCUUUUCUAAUAAAGAGGGCUAAUGACGGUACCGUAAGAAUAAGCACCGGCUAACUACGUGCCAGCAGCCGCGGUAAUACGUAGGGUGCAAGCGUUAAUCGGAAUUACUGGGCGUAAAGCGUGCGCAGGCGGUUAUGUAAGACAGUUGUGAAAUCCCCGGGCUCAACCUGGGAACUGCAUCUGUGACUGCAUAGCUAGAGUACGGUAGAGGGGGAUGGAAUUCCGCGUGUAGCAGUGAAAUGCGUAGAUAUGCGGAGGAACACCGAUGGCGAAGGCAAUCCCCUGGACCUGUACUGACGCUCAUGCACGAAAGCGUGGGGAGCAAACAGGAUGAUAAACCCCAGUAGUCCCAUGA
rnacentral:rRNA from 1 species